UGCCUGCCUGCUCCAGAGAAGCAGCCUUUGUUCCUCAGUUCAUCGCAACACUCAGCCUGUCAGUCAGGUUGUGGGAUCCCUCCUAUCCAGGAACUGUAUGCUGUUGUCCCGGUUCUGACACUUUCCCUCUGAGUCCUUGGACACCUUACCUAACCUCUUGGAAGCUCCUGUCUGUGAAGGGUGUGCACAGAGAGCUUCGGUAGCCUGCGAAGCAGCCAUUUUCACUUCCACGGAGCAGAUGCUGGCCUGGGUGCUGGAAUAUGGAAAUGAGGAAGAUCCUGCCUGAGGAUUUCAUGACAGUGCUGCGAUUACCGACGUGAGCCACUGUGCCCAGCCUCACUUUAAAAAAAAAAAAAGGUUAUGAAGCAUCUCAACACAAGACCUCCUUUGCUCAUCACAACCACCCAGUGAAGCAGGCAAGACAACAGAAACUCCCCACCUGUGAUAGAUGUGAGGCCUGAAGUCUCCCACAUACCCACGGCAGAUGCAACGCACAGCGGUGACCAAUGGUGAAGGAUCUAAAACCUGAAAAGAGGCCAAAUGAUUCCUCAAAACCACGCAAGUACGAAGUAGCAGAGCGGAUCUCAAAUCCAGGUUGCCCUGCUGAUGUCAUGCCUGACCAUAUGACUUGCUCCAGCCAAUGAAAUGUAAGCAGAAGUGACAUAUGCAGCAUGACCAGUGGAAGCUUCGAAGAGCUAUUGCCAAUUUCCACCCUCUCUCUGGAAACUGUCAUUAGGGUUAGGGAAACUGUCAUGAGAUCUGCAUAUUUUAGAUAGAGGCUGCUUGCCUUAUUUGGGCACCUAAUGAAAAAGACAUGGAGGCCAGGUGCGGUGGCUCAUGUCUGUAAUCCCAGCACUUUGGGAGGCCAAGGCGAGUGGAUCACCUGAGGUCAGGAGUUCGAGACCAGCCUGACCAACAUGGCAAAACCCCGUCUGUACUAAAAGUGCAAACACAAAGGGAACUGCGUGGCUUGUUUCUACCUGAACAUUGUCAAGUGAUUUCAUCCUUUGAAACACAGUUGUGAAGUGUGUCCAGCAGUCUGAGAACAAGAAGAAGAAGAAAAUCUAAUCCUUCAGGGUGUCUGUGUGCCAGCCCUGCUCUCAGCACUUCCCAUGUGGAACUCCUUUACUUCUCCUAACAACUCCAUGACAUGGGUUAGACUGUGAUUGUUCCCAUAUUGUUGGUAGGGAAACUGAGGCAUGCAGGUGUUACAGAGCUCUCUCAAGUGGCAAGCUUUCUGGGUGGUUACAGAGUGGCAGAGCUGGGGUAUCCCAUGAUGUCACCACACUGCUAUAUGGAAAAGAACAUUAAUCGAGCACCUACGUGCUUGAUUCUCUUAAUUCUGUGACUGAACUCUCAAAACACCCUGGGUAAGCACUAUCAUCUCCUAUUUUCACAAGUGAAAAAACUGGGAUUCAAAAAAAUUAAGUGACUUACCAAAUAUUACAGAGCUAGUAAGCCAAGACUUGAACACUGAGAUGGAAUUCUACCUUUUAAGGUGGCUAAGCAACAGAAGGAUGUUCCUUUCCCAAGGGGGUAAGAAGCAGUGGCCAUGUUCAGCACAAUUGUCCUAUCACAGGUUCAUGGCAGGGACCGAGCAGUGAGGAUGGGCACUGCCCUGUGUCCUAGCAGAGGGCUGCCUUCUGGCUCCCCAGCCUUGGCCAGCAGCCCUUCUAUCUUCAUGCCAUGACCUAUUUUUGUUCACCCAGUUAGUGUAUGGCCUAUUUCUUUCCUUAAGAAUUACUUCAUAACUUUCACAGAGUAAUAGCACAUGCUGAGCACAGCAUUCAUGAACUUGGACACACGCACACAAAAUGUCCCUUUAAAUUCACAGAGCAGUAUCUGAGAUCCAGGUAGAAAGACCAAAAGGAAAAUUAAGAACAGACUCUCAGACCUGCCUUCCCUUUGCAUUCAGGUUGGUUUCCUUUUUACAACUGCCCAAGUCAUGAGUUCAUAGGGCCUGGAUGGCUGUACCGGAUUGCUCUCCAGCUGGUCUCUCUGCAUCCAGAAAUUUCUACAACCUACUGGGGUAAAAUCUUUCUCAACCCUGCUUUUCAUCAUCACAUCUUAAAUAUCUCGAGUUGGUUCCCUAUUGCCAAAAAAAAUCCAUUGUCCAUGUAGGGUUCUUCUGCCGAAACGAGGAAAGAGUGAGUUAAAUGUUGGUAGGUGAUAUAGAGAUAGUAAUUAGGCAAUAUAAUUCGAUGUUGUUGAAAGAGCUGAGCUAUGAAAUGCAUUGUGAUAAAGGGGCUGCCUGUGUAAGUAAAUGGGUAUAAUGAGGUGUAAAACUCCCUUUCUCUCUCUCUUUCUGCUUCAUAAGCCUUUCUGCUUCUCAAGUCCAGACCUGCUGUUUUUGGGGUUUCCUUCCAAUUUUUUUGCUGCUUCCCUGGGGCCUUGGCUCUUGGGCCUGCUGCCUCUUCCCACUCUACACCUUUGGAUUCCUUAUCUUUGGCUCCACCUUAUUGCUCCAUUCUCCAAAGACAAAUCCACAAGGCAUAGGAUUUUACAGAAUAUGGGGUUACAGAAACAGCAUAGGGAAGUGUAAAAGCCUAGAAGCUUCUUACAGACGCAGCCCCUUGUCUGUAGCUCCUGACUCCCACUUAAAUGUCUGUUGGAAGCACCCUGGGGUAGCAGAACCCAGCUCAGAAGAUGGGGCUUAUCCACCAUGCCUUUUCCUAACCUGACACCCACCCAGAUAAUCUUUUCAAUAUGCAAACUAGAGCGUAUCACCCCCUGCUCAGAGCCUUUCUGUGACCUCCCAUUUUGCUUCCCAGGACUCCUUGCUCCUUAGCCAGGUCUCCAGGUCCUCCGUGAUCAGGUCUCUGCUCUUCUGCAGCCUCAUCUCUGCCAUUCUUCACCUUUUGUGCUCCAACCCAAUCUGGUUUUCUUCUCAUGCUUUGAACACCCCAAGUCUGUCUGCUUCAGGAGCUUCGUACUGGCUAAUCAUUCACCACAGCAUACUCCCAUCUAUACGGCUGGCUCUUAUAUUAUGGGUCUCAGCUAAAAUGUCAUCCCUUCAAAGAGACCUUCUUGGACCACCCCCGCCAUUCUCUAUCCUAUUUCUCUCUUUUAUUUUCUUUGAAGCACUUACCCACUUUCAGAAACUAUCUGGCUUGCUCAUGUGUUUGUCUCUAGAUUGUCUACUUCCCCUCCUAGACUGUACUCUCCACAAGAGAGCAAAGCUGUGUCUGUUGCAUUCACUGUUGUCUUCCCAGAAGCAAGCAGCAUGCUGGAGACCCUCAAAUACAUGUGAAAUGAAGGGACACCUUGUGUUAUUUCACCUGUUUCCACCUGGUUCCCAAGUGGCAAGCUUGCAUUGAGGUUACAAAGUGGCAAAGCUGGGAUAUCACAUGAUGUCACCAUGAUGCUAUAUGAAAUGUAACAUUAAUUGAGUACCUAUGUGACCAGUUCUUUAAUUCUGUAAGUGAACUCUCAAAAAACCCUAGGUAAGUAUUAUCAACUCGAACUUUAACGGAUGAGGAAACUGGAAUUUUUUAAAAAAUGACUUAACCAAACAUCACAGAGCUGUAAACCAGGAUUUGAAUGGGUGAGCUGCACUCAGCCUUCAUCUCAAGUCAGUUUGCCUCUUUCUCCAAGAAGCCACAGUUGAUCCUGACCACAUCACAUAUGAGUUGCCUGGAUUGCAGUCAUUCAUUCACUAAGCAUCUUUUAGGAGGUCACAUGCCAGGCACCGUGUUAGGUAAUGAUUUCUCCAAGUCACAGGAGCCGUGGUUCUGACUUUAGAAAGUUUCUCAUCUGAUGGGAGGGCAGGCAAGUAAAUCAGUAAGGGUGGUCCCUGUCGGGACACUGGUUGAGAAAUACCCAGGAACACUCUGAUUGAGAAAUACCCAAAGUGCAAAGUGACAGGGACUAGAGGCAUCUCCACUGGACCAGAGAGCUCUGGAUUCGUCUUGAGCUAAGUCUCUGGAGGUAGGUGUCAGCUACAAGGAGAAAAGCUGUAUAUUUUGAGAUAUGGGAUGCAGGGCCUUUUAGUUCCAUAAAUAAGAGAACUAUGGUGUGAAUACCACAUGCCCUGGGCUGAACUAAGUGGGCUCUAGGGGAAGGUAUACUGGGCAGGGAGUUUGGAGAACUGGUUUCUGUCUAAUCCUUCUCUAACUCUGUGACCUUGAAUGCAUCAUUUCCCCUCUGAGUCUCAGAUUCUCUUUCUGGCUGGCAUUUAAUGAAACCUAAAUAUUCUAGACCUUCUACUUGUUCCAUAAGUGCUCAGUCCUACACUCACUCUCCUCUGGCACCAAUAUACUGAUUACUCAUUUUAUGCCCAGCAGAGCACUGCGUGUUUUGAAAUAUACAAAUAGUGGGAAACGAAAUCUUUGUUCUGGAUGCAGUUAUAAUUUGGAAAGCGAGGAAAUAAAUUAUAACAAGGGGAAAAAACAGACACAGAGGGAUUGAAAUGCAUAACAAUAGAGAUGAAACACGAAGAGUGAUAAAUGAAGAUUGAGUGUGCACACCUUCUGGAGGAGCCCUGAUUGAGUAUUUUAACACAGAAGUGGGUGAGAGCAAAGUUGUGUCAGAGUAAGACAAUGACACCAAGCCAGAUGGUUAUCAAAAUCCACAGGAACAAAUGAAGAGAACCAGAAAUUGCAAAUAAGAAGGACAGAGUACCAGAGAGGAGAGAGAGGUACAGAGAAUUAUGGAGGUGGCUUCCGUUGAGUAUGCAGCUAAGUAAUGAUUAAUGCAUACAUAUAAGAAACUACUGGAUGACAGAGAAAGAACCACAAGCAAUUUAAAGAAUACUACUAAAGUCAUGCCGUGUGACUUCUGAAGCUAGCUCCUAAGAAGUCCUUGCAGCUUCUGCCUGCGACUCUUAGAACACUUGCUUUGAAGGAUGCCAGAUGCUGUCUUAAAAGUCUGAGCACUCUGAAACCAUCAUGCUGUGAGGAAGCCCAAGCUAACCACAUGGGCAAAAAAGAUGCCCUCUGACUGCCACCAUUUGAGACACUCUAAUUAAGAACUGCCUCAUUGAGCCCAUGAGGCCCUGUGAAUGAUAAUAAUAAAUUGUUUUUAACCACUAUGUUUUUGGAUUUGUUAUAAGUUUAUAGAUAACAAGAAAAAGUUAUAUUAGCAUGGUAAUAAAAUUAUGGAUAUGUGUAAGUUUGGUGUUUUGUUUCUUUUUUUUUUUUACACUAAGCCUAUAUUACUGUUGUAAUUUAGGAAAUCACUUGUUUUCCUCCAGCACUUCAAUGUAAGAGUGGCACUACUUAGAAUGUACUUCUUAAGAUAUGGCU
rnacentral:lncRNA from 1 species